AUGUUCCAAGCCGUGCAGUUUUUUAUCCACAUUGCUGAAAUGAGGGUGUUGAGAAAUGUCCAAGAUGUUGGUGGGGAAAAUCUGACGGGAAAGCUAAGGUUGUCGCCCAUGAGAAAUCUGUGGAACGAAUGGGAGAUCCACGGCCUGGUACUCGCGAGCUUGGCCUUGCAAUUCUUCCUCUUCUUCAUAGCAGGCAUGCGGAGGCGCAGCACAUCACGCAUCAUCAACGCCUUCCUGUGGCUAGCCUACCUUUCGGCUGACUCCGUGGCUGUCUUCGUCCUCGGCCACCUCGCCGUCCGUGCGAGCGGGCCACAACACGAGCUCAUUGCCUUCUGGGCGCCGUUCCUGCUCGUCCACCUGGGUGGGCAGGACACCAUCACCGCUCUCUCUGCCCAGGACAACGAGCUGUGGAUGCGUCAUCUCCUGGGCCUCGUCUCCCAGGUGGCAGUGGCCGGCUACGUCGUGUCCAAGUCAUCUUGGCCGGACAGACGGCUGCUGGCGGCCACCGUGCUCAUCUUCCUCUCUGGGACCUUCAAGUACGCUGGCCGCACCUACUGCCUUUACUCAGCCAGGCCAGCAUAUAUCAGGGAGUACUCCCAGCUUAGUUUGUCAAGAACACUAUGGAAGCUGAAGCGUGCAGCCGAAGGAGUCAAUUCACACAGAACAUCUGCGGAUGAAUUAAUCAGUGAGCUCCGGGAUUCUAUGCUUGGUGAGGUUCCCAACAUGGAUUCAUUGUUCUAUGAAGAUGCCAUGGAAAUCAUGUCGGUGGAUGCUCCUUCAAAUCCGGUGGAGAGUAUUUUAGCUCGAGAUUUUCUGCCAAGCAUGCUGGAGAAGUUUCAGUCAACUUUGUGCCUCCGGAAGCCAUAUGAGCAUGUUGGCAGAAAAUUGGUAAAAUGUUAUGAGAACUUCUACACAAAAAGUCCACUUUUACGUUUCUACGAGCUGUGUGCCAAGAUAUUUCAUUUGAGCUACGGUAUUGAAAAUUUGGUUAUUUUGUUGAUUACUGGGAUUCUCUGGCUGACAGCUAUCCUGUUCCAGUAUCUUCUAACCACAAUAGCCCUAGUGCUCUUCACCCUGGCUGAGAAAGGGCACCAAGUCCAUAAUAGAGUUGAUGUCACCGUGUCCUACAUACUGCUCAUCGGAGCCAUAAUCCUAGACGUGUCCUCUGCCUUCAUGUCCAUUCUUUCGUCUCUGAGAUCCAACCCUUCUAGAGAUUUGAGCAUGAUUAACACUGUAUUCUUGCAUGUAAUCGACUGCAUUCAGCCAACAUGGAGCAGAAAACAGUGGUCUGAGAAGAUAGCACAAUACAGCAUGGUCAAGAGGCACACCAUGGAAGAUACUGGAGGCAUGUCAUAUGUGCGGCAACGGAUUGGCAAGUAUUUUAUAGCUUGGGGUGUUGAACUAUUGGAUCCAAGCCUGACGCACACACAGGUCACCGGAGAUCUCAAGGAGUUUGUCCUCGGCAAUUUGGUACGUUUUGGGAUCAGUAAAGAAUACAAUGUUGCCAAUUUUCGUGGCCAGCUAGCGCUUCAAAAGUGCAGGCAGACGGCUCUGUAUGAUAGCAUCGAUGGUGUCAAGGAUUUCCCGACAAGCAUUCUCAUUUGGCACAUUGCAACGGAUAUUUGCUACUACUCUGGAAGCAGCAGCAUGACCAACACAGAUUGUGAAGGAUCAAAGAAGAAAAUGUGCAGAGAGCUGUCAAAUUAUAUAAUGUACCUUGUCUUCAAGUGUGGCGUGAUGCUUACCAGCAACUCCCAGCUUGUUCAUAACAAUGUUCAUGGUGAAAUGGAGAAAGUUCUUGCAGAUCAAUGGUCAAAGAUGGUUAAUCAUGGGGAGGAGGAUGUCAUGAAGGUGUUUGAAGGCACAAAAGAUGAACAACCACCCUUGACAGUGAAUGAGAAUCAGGGACAGUCGGUCAAUACAGAUAGUGCUACCUCCAGCGAUCUGAAGAAACUCCUCGAAAGGGCCGCGGAAGCUAUUUAUUCUCCAGUACUACCUCAUGCAUCCAAGGUGGCCCAGGAGCUCAUGGGUAUCGUUGAUGAAGGUGGGCGCUGGGAUCUCAUCGCCGCGGUGUGGUUGGAGAUGCUUUUAUACAUCGCGCCUCGUUGUGGAGGUGCUUUCCAUUACCAGCAUCUUUGCACUGGUGGGGAGUUCAUCACGCAUAUCCUCCUCCUCAUGCGUUCUCUAGGCCCAUUUCUACCAGGACCUGACAAUCCAGCUCCUUGA
rnacentral:rRNA from 1 species